rnacentral:rRNA from 1 species
AUUGAACGCUGGCGGCAGGCUUAACACAUGCAAGUCGAGCGGGGGAAGGUAGCUUGCUACCGGACCUAGCGGCGGACGGGUGAGUAAUGCUUAGGAAUCUGCCUAUUAGUGGGGGACAACAUCUCGAAAGGGAUGCUAAUACCGCAUACGUCCUACGGGAGAAAGCAGGGGAUCUUCGGACCUUGCGCUAAUAGAUGAGCCUAAGUCGGAUUAGCUAGUUGGUGGGGUAAAGGCCUACCAAGGCGACGAUCUGUAGCGGGUCUGAGAGGAUGAUCCGCCACACUGGGACUGAGACACGGCCCAGACUCCUACGGGAGGCAGCAGUGGGGAAUAUUGGACAAUGGGGGGAACCCUGAUCCAGCCAUGCCGCGUGUGUGAAGAAGGCCUUAGGGUUGUAAAGCACUUUAAGCGAGGAGGAGGCUACUUUAGUUAAUACCUAGAGAUAGUGGACGUUACUCGCAGAAUAAGCACCGGCUAACUCUGUG